GUGAGGAAUUUUCCGCAAUGGGCGAAAGCCUGACGGAGCAAUGCCGCGUGAAGGAUGAAGGCCUAUGGGUUGUAAACUUCUUUUCUCAGAAAAGAAUUAUGACGGUAUCUGAGGAAUAAGCAUCGGCUAACUCUGUGCCAGCAGCCGCGGUAAGACAGAGGAUGCAAGCGUUAUCCGGCAUGAUUGGGCGUAAAGCGUCUGUAGGUUGUUUAAAAAGUAUUCUGUCAAAGAUUAGGGCUUAACCCUAGAUAGGCAGAAUAAACUUUUAAGCUAGAGUUUGGUAGAGGCAGAGGGAAUUCCCGGUGGAGCGGUGAAAUGCGUAGAUAUCGGGAGGAACACCAAAGGCGAAGGCACUCUGCUGGGCCAAUACUAACACUGAGAGACGAAAGCGAGGGGAGCAAAUGGGAUUAGAAACCCUAGUAGUCC
rnacentral:rRNA from 1 species